UGAGUAACGCGUGGGUAACCUGCCCUAUGGAAAGGAAUAGCCUCGGGAAACUGGGAGUAAACCCUUAUAUUAUGGAGAGAUCGCAUGGUCAUUUCAUGAAAACUCCGGUGCCAUAGGAUGGACCCGCGUCCCAUUAGCUAGUUGGUGAGAUAACAGCCCACCAAGGCGACGAUGGGUAACCGGUCUGAGAGGGGGAACGGUCACACUGGAACUGAGACACGGUCCAGACUCCUACGGGAGGCAGCAGUGGGGAAUAUUGCGCAAUGGGGGCAACCCUGACGCAGCAAUACCGCGUGAGUGAAGAAGGUUUUCGGAUUGUAAAGCUCUGUUAUUGGGGAAGAAAACAUGACGGUACCAAAUGAGGAAGUCCCGGUUAAUUACGUGCCA
rnacentral:rRNA from 1 species